GGGCCUUCGUCUCCUCACCUCAGGUCCUUCGUCUCCUCACCUCAGGGCCUUCGUCUCCUCACCUCAGGGCCUUCGUCUCCUCACCUCAGGUCCUUCGUCUCCUCACCUCCGGGCCUUCGUCUCCUCACCUCAGGUCCCUUCGUCUCCUCACCUCAGGGCCUUCGUCUCCUCACCUCAGGUCCUUCGUCUCCUCACCUCAGGUCCCUUCGUCUCCUCACCUCAGGUCCCUUCGUCUCCUCACCUCAGGGCCUUCGUCUCCUCACCUCAGGUCCCUUCGUCUCCUCACCUCAGGGCCUUCGUCUCCUCACCUCAGGUCCUUCGUCUCCUCACCUCAGGUCCCUUCGUCUCCUCACCUCAGGGCCUUCGUCUCCUCACCUCAGGUCCUUCGUCUCCUCACCUCAGGGCCUUCGUCUCCUCACCUCAGGUCCCUUCGUCUCCUCACCUCAGGUCCUUCGUCUCCUCACCUCAGGUCCUUCGUCUCCUCACCUCAGGGCCUUCGUCUCCUCACCUCAGGGCCUUCGUCUCCUCACCUCAGGGCCUUCGUCUCCUCACCUCAGGGCCUUCGUCUCCUCACCUCAGGUCCUUCGUCUCCUCACCUCAGG
ensembl:lncRNA